rnacentral:rRNA from 1 species
UACGUAGGGUGCGAGCGUUGUCCGGAAUUACUGGGCGUAAAGAGCUCGUAGGUGGUUUGUCGCGUUGUCCGUGAAAACUCACAGCUUAACUGUGGGCUUGCGGGCGAUACGGGCAGACUGGAGUACUGCAGGGGAGACUGGAAUUCCUGGUGUAGCGGUGGAAUGCGCAGAUAUCAGGAGGAACACCGGUGGCGAAGGCGGGUCUCUGGGCAGUAACUGACGCUGAGGAGCGAAAGCGUGGGGAGCGAACAGG